AUGGGUUGGUAGUUGCCAAGC
rnacentral:misc_RNA from 1 species